GAGGGUACAGCUCAAGUGGUAGAGCGCAUGCUUAUCAUGCACAAGGUCCUGGGUUCAAUCCCUAGUACCUCUU
rnacentral:tRNA from 1 species